GCAGCUGGUGGGUGGGGUCGUCUUCUGGGCCCUGCCCCCGGGAUCAGGGUAUUUCCGGCAGGCGGGCGGGCCUGUGACGUCACGACGCCAGUCACGCCCUUCCCUGCUGCGCAGGCCCGCAAAGCCUGGAGGUCGGCGCUGGGAUUCUCCGGAAUUUUCUCCCGCAGCGCCAGAUGUGGUAACUCGAGGAACUCCGAGAGCACCCCAAGGACCCCUGAGAAAUGCUGUCUGAAGGAACGCAGUCAGUCUGUGAAAACAUUCUCAGUUCGACCCGUCCCUGAAGACGAGACACCGAGGCUUGGUAGCUGGGCCAGGGAAGUAGGCAUGGGCCAGGAAUCCUCCUUCCCCAUCAAAGGGGGAGCUGUCACCAUGGAAGCCAGAAGCAAAGAAGAUCAUGAUGUCUGCCUCUUUCCGGUCACUUUUGAUCUCGUGGUAUGGCACCUCUUCAAAGGUCAGCGGGGUCACCUUCUGCCACACAUCAAAGGCCUGGCGAAUAGCUUUCCGUGUGUCUAGCUCCCCCACCUUUGGGGUGUAGUUGUGAAUGCUGGUGAGAGAGCGGAGUGAACUAGGUUAGGGAGGAACAGAGAGUCAGACACAAGCAGAGCUAAGAGGGACAUCAGGAACCAGACAGCCCAGCGAUGUUCAAGUUUUGACGCCUAGAGUUCUGCGGCAGCGCCCUAGGGGCUGAAAGAGAGACCAGGCAGGCAAGGCUCUGGGUCCCAAGCCCUGCCUCAAUCAGAGUGUCUUAGCUCUUUAAUCAGUGUUUCGUAUUUUGUCUUUGACAAAGUUUGUGUUAAGUAUAGGAUUUCAUUCCAAUUUGUAGGAAAAAAAAAUAAGUUGGUGACUAGCAUUUUCUAAAAUUUAUGUUCUUCUCCCAAUACAUACAAUAUGUACAUCUAUAAAAGUUAUAAAAUAUUUUGCCUUGGCUCAUGUGGCUCCGUGGAUUGAGCGUCAGCCUGCGAACCAAAAGUUCACUGGUUCGAUUCCUGGUUAGGGCACGUACCUGGACUGCAGGUCAGGUCCCCAGUUGGGGGCAUGAGAGAGGCAACCAGUUGAUGUUUCUCUCCCUCUCUUUCUCCCUCCCUCCCCUGUCUCUAAAAAUAAAUAAAUAAAACAUUCUUUAAAAAGUUAUAAAAUAUUUAAACAGUGGAGAGCUUAAGUGAAACAUCUCUUAAAAAAACAUUUGGCACCGACUACUACUUGCCUACCUAAAAGCUGGUAUAGGGCGGUAUCUGAUUUAAUCGGUUAUAGAUUCAGCUAUUUAGGGUUGCUGUAUCCAUACUGCAUGGCUCUCCCACAGGGAGCGUCACUGCUUCUGGAUGCGCUGCCCCGAGAGCACCCGGGAAAAGGACCUGUUUUGUAGGUAAGGAAACUGAGGCUCAGAGACAUUGGGUGACAGAAGGAAGGUCAGAGUUAGAAUCCAGCUGCUUUUCUUCGUCUCCUCUACCUCUUCGGGAGACCCUAAGAGUCUGUCCAGUUUCUGACCCAGAUUCUUCUACAGUUUCCUUCUCUUGUCAGAUUUCUGAAAAAAUCCUGUUCCGAUCUCUACAACUCGUCAGCGGGAGAGCCCUUGGUGCCCCUCUACGAUCUCUAUCUUAGACCCUUGGGACCGAGCACAUCUACCUCGGAUGGAGUCAGGGCCUUGAGAGGCACCAACCAGGGCCCAUGUGAGCCCACCAUAGGGCUGGCUCUUGUCCCAGCCCCACUCCGAGUUCCGAUGUCUUGAGUACGCUGUGAUGGGCUCCAGCAUCCCUGCUCGUGGUUGCCGGGCUGCCUUGGAGACUGACCCUGCUCUGCCCUUGGUUUCCCUAGACAAUCAAUGAAUGGCACUGCUGUGAUUCGGGCCCUUUACACUGCUUAAGAAACAAACUGGACAUCUGUGCUGGGAAUCCUGCAUGAAGUCUAUUAGACUAAGCCUUCUCCGCUCAGCUGUGGUUCUUUAUCACAGAUGAAAGUCACUGAACUGUCCAUGCUCCACUUUCUGCAACUGAAAACAAUUGGAAUCUAAACAGAACACAAGUAAGAAGCCCCCAAAGGACCAAAGAAACCUGAAGUUGGAGGCAGAGCAUCCUCUGGGAGUCGCAAGGAGGGCAAAGUCACAGGCUCUCAGUCCCCGGCCCUCACCCUGAUGACACAGCCGGUUACGAGCCUCCGAAACUCAGGCCAGGAAAAAAACAGUGAGGGUGGAGCCAGGACCAGGGAGGACGAGAGGAAGCCAAAGCACCUGUAGGUGAUGUGCUUCUGCCUCCACUUCUGUCCAGUCAGGGCGUAGCGCUUGUUCCUUCGCCUACGGCUCAAGUGGGGGUGGUCGGGAACACCGCAUCGGGGUUUCUUCAUCCACCUGGGCAGAGAGAAGACGCACACACACUGUGGUCACUGAACACGCCAGGAAGACCCUGCGGAGCCUCCAGCCCCAGCCUGCAUGGCAGCGUGCACCGCCGAAACCCUGGCUCCGAUGGGUUCCCCAGCAGGGACAGGACUGACUCAUUCACUCACUCACUCACACACAACCGAAUAUGAGGAAGCAUUGCCGCAUAAGAGACUGGGAGUCGGAAGACACGGGCUUGAUAGUUCCAGCUCCACCACUAAUCAGAAGGGCCCAGGCAAGUGACUGAAUUGGCGUGAGCCUCAGUUUCCUCAUCUGCAAUAUGAGAAUUAAAGUUGUUGCUGUUC